AGGUUUGAGACCUGUGCGUUGCGCCUCACUUUCCCGCUCCAAGCAUUUCAUUCUGGCCUGGUGGAUUUUUAGGCCACGAUGAUUCUUGCACAGCUUUCUGCAAAUACAUAUCACGUUUGUCAUUUGUCCGUUUGCAUGAGUUCUUAACCUUAGUUCCGUCCGGAUGGAGAUCUCAUCCUACCCCCCUCUCGGGUAUCUCUUUGUAGGGCUUUCCGUAGCUUGUUUGGGUUCUCUCUCACGAAAGACACAGGCUGGGGUGCUAACCCAUACUGUCCCAGGUGCCGUCUUUCCGAGUUACCUCUAAAUUGUAGGUGGGACCGUUGGCGUGGAGUAAGCUUCUGUUUAUUUCCCAUCAUGCCUUUGAUUACACUCCACUCUCAUUUAUCGCUUUAAUCAAAGUCCUUUUAAAAUAAUGUGACAAAUACGCAACAGUAACACCAGGUUUAUAAUAUUUUCCACAUUGUAGAAGAGAAGGUGGAAUUGUAAGAACAGAAACCCAAAUUCACAAAGGUGUUUCAAAGAAACAAGGUUUUUUUGUACUUGCUGAAAGUAAUCCCAUUUGUACAAACAUCAUAGAUUUAUGAUGUUUUCUUUUUCUGUUAGUUUCAGCUGAACUGAAAUAUUGUCACACUUUUCCUCACUGCAGUGCAGCUUCUGUUCCUCCACCAGAGGGCGACAUUUUGAAGUGGGCGGGGCUCUCCUUCAGCUCUGCAUUCAACAUUCAGUCAACAAAAAGUGGUGCUGUGAAGAGAACAAUUGUCAGAGUGAAUGUUGAACAUCAGCUAGUUUCUCCUGUUGAUUGAAACCUUGUUGUACAGAUGGAACAUUGGCUGUGGAUUCUUCUUGCUGCUCUUUUCUUUGAGUGUAAAGGAGAAGACGGCCCACAGUGACAGGAAACAGCAAAACUCUGUACAAAAACUCGCAGUCAACACAAUACUCCACGUUAUCCACUAGAGGGUGCUCUAAAUGUAAUCUUUAUCCCCAUUGUGAACUCAUGAUUUCAUUGACCUCCAAAGCUUUCAUGUUGUAGGAGAGGUUCGAGAAAACACUCGAAACUAAAUAAAGCUGUAGAGAAAAGUAAAACAUUGAUUAAAAAUCAGUGUUUGUGUACUAAAAAGCUAGUUUACAAGGUGAAAAAGAAAAUUGUCUUGAUGCUGACGCAAACACUUUGUGAUAGAAAGGCUGUCCGAAAUGCCACAAAGAAAACUAAAGCACAACAGUAAACACAUUUUCUACAGUUCUGUGAUGUUCAUAAAGUCAGGAUCUGAAAAUGCCAGACUCAUCUGAAGAAAAGAAAACUAUCUCAGAGUAAUCUCAGAGAUCUAUGAAUAGAAUAAAAGCUCAAAGUUUAUCUAUCUCAGGGAGGAACUUUACAGAAAAGACAAGAGAACUUCUAAAGGCAUUGAGUUUUCAUCAAUGAAGAACAUCGCACCUUUAGGCAGACUGUUAACAAGGAGAAAAAGGAGAGAGAAGAGGAAGAACAGAUGAAAGAGCAGAUGGAGAGAUUGAGGGAGGAGCUGAGCUGUUAGUGAACAAUAGAAGAGACACAAACUUCCACUUUCAACACAGUUCAACACACAAAAGCCAAACAUCAGCUUCAUCCAACAUGCUGUCUGUGCAGACAUCUGUGUUCACUCUGCUGCUUCUAGUCAUUGGAACAGGUUGAUGGGAUUCUUUCAAAGAUCCAUUUCAGCAUUUGAUGUUUGUCCAUCACUGAUCUGACUUCUCUCUUCCUUUAGAUGUCAGCUGUGAAGAACUCACUGCAGUCAAGAAGGAAGAGUCCACUUUGGAAGGAACUUCUGUCACUCUGUCCUACAAAUAU